CUUCUGCCCGGUCUUUCUUGCCAAGUAAAAUAUUCCACUUUGCGGUCUGUUUUUAACGCACAGUUAAAAACGGGGACAUUUCCGGGGACAGCUCCAGCCGGGGACAGGCCACCAAAAACGGGGACGCCUGGUCACCCUACUCCAUAUAGCUCCACAUUGACAUGAGUGGGAUGACGGUGCACACAGAGCAGAGUUCUGGAAAUCUCUGCAACCGUAUCCAGAACCUAAUCAGUCACCAUGCUGAUCCAACUGGUCUAAAUCAACCUGGAUCUGUGCUGGUAUUGGAAUUCUCCUGGCUCCAACGACACAAUCCCCUCAUUAACUGGUCUAUUGGUGUCAUCAUGGGCUGAAGCUCGUUCUGCCAGGCCCAUUGCCUGAAGUCAGCACAACCUGCCCUGGGACGUCUUCCUGGGGAAUUGGAAGGUUCCCCGGACCUCUCCGCCAUUCCCGCGGAGUACCAAAACAUCCGGGAGGUUUUUAACAAGGCCUGGGCCACAUCGUUUCCGCCGCACCGACCCUAUGACUGCGGGAUUGACUUUCUCCCUAGCACCACACUGGGGACGUCUGUACUCUCUGUCGGGACCGGAGACCAAGGCGAUGGUACCUACAUUGGGAACUCUCUAGCUGCUGGAUUUAUCCGUCCCUCUUCCUUUCCCGCCGGAGCAGGCAUCUUCUUCGUGGAGAAAAAGGACAAGACCCUGUGCCCAUGCAUUGACUACCGGGGACUCAACGACAUUACGGUUAAAAAACGUUACCCUCUACCACUCAUCUCCGGCCCUGAUAACCGGAUGUUCGUUCCCGACACUGUCCAUUCCGCAGUCCUGGAGUGGGCCAACUCCUCCAGGCUGGCCUGCCACCCAGGUGCCCGUCAGAUCUUGGCCUUUGUGCAACAGUGCUUUUGGUGGCCUACCAAGGUCCCUGACAUGUCCACAUUUGUCACAGCUUGCACAGUUGUGCACAGAAUAAGACUCCUCGGCAAACUCCGGCUGGUCUCCUCUAACCUCUGCCUGUCCCCCACCGUCUCUGAUCUCACAACUCCCUGGACUUUGUCACAGGUCUUCCCCCAUCUGAUGGCACCACCGCCAUCCUGACUGGUGGAUUGGUUCUCCAAAGCCGCUCACUUCAUUCCUCUCCCCAAACUACCCUCUGCCAAAGAGACGGUCCAGCUCAUGGUGCAGCACGUCUUCCGGAUCCAUGGACUGCCCGUGGA
ensembl:lncRNA